UGCCCUCUUUACAUCACCAAAAGGCUUCUGUAAAAAGCUUGGUGCAAGAAAUUUUUCAUUUUGGUCGUGUUUGAAGCUAGCCAAGUUUAGUGAUGAAAGUUGGCUAAUUUUUUUGUGCAUGGUGCCAAGUUUUGGGAAAAUUUCAAAGUGUUGAUUUUUGGGGUUUGAUGGUUGCAAUGCCCUCUUUAUAUCACCAAAAUGCUACUGUAAAAAUCUUGGUGCUAGAAAUUUUUCAUUUUGGUUGGUUUUGAAGCUAGCCAAGUUUGGUGGUGAAAGUUGGCUAAGUUGGUGCUUGGUUCCAAGUUUUGGGAAAUUUUCAAAGUGUUGGUUUUUGGUUUUUGCUAGUUGGAAUGCCCUCUUUACAUCACCAAAAGGCUACUGUAAAAAUCCUUGUGCAAGAAAUUUUUAUUUUGGUGAGGUUUGAAGCUAGCCAAGUUUGGCGGUGAAACUAGGAUAAGUUUGUGGUGCAUGGUGCCAUGUUUUGGGAAAUUUUCAAAGUGUUGGUUUUUGGGGUUUUAUGGUUGGAUUGCCCUCUUUAUAUCACCAAAAGGCUACUGUAAAAAUCUUGGUGCAAGAAAUUUUUCAUUUUGGUGGGUUUUGAAGCUAGGCAACUUUGGUGGUGAACGUUGGCUCAGUUUGUGGUGCAUGGUGCCAAGUUUUGGCAAAUUUUGAAAGUGUUGGUUUUUGGGGUUUGAGUGUUGGAAUGCCCUCUUUAUAUCACUAAAAGGCUACUGUAAAAAUAUUGGUGCAAGAAAUUUUUCAUGUUGGUGGGUUUUGAAGCUAGCCAAGUUUGGUGGUGAAAGUUGGCCAAGUUGGUGCUUGGUGCCAAGUUUUGUGAAAUUUUGAAAGUGUUGGUUUUUGGGGUUUGAUUGUUGGAAUGACCUCUUUAUAUCACCAAAAGGCUACUGUAAAAAUCUUGGUGCAAGAAAUUUUUCAUUUUUGUGGGUUUUGAAGCUAGCCAAGUUUGGUGGUGAAAGUUGGCUAAGUUUGUGGUGCUUGGUGCCAAGUUUUAUGAAAUUUUGAAAGUGUUGGCUUUUGGGGUUGGAUGAUUGGAAUGCCCUCUUUAUAUCACCAAAAGGCUGCUUUAAAAAUCAUGAUGCAGGAAAUUUUUCAUUUUGGUGGGUUUUGAAGCUAGCCAAGUUUGGUGGUGAAAGUUGGCUAAGGUGGUGUUUGGUGCCAAGUUUUUGGAAAUUUGCUAAGUGUUGGUUUUUGGGGUUUCAUAGUUGGAAUUCCCUCUUUAUAUCAUCGAAAGGCUACUGUAAAAAUCUUUGUGCAAGAAAUUUUUCAUUUUGGUGGGUUUUGAAGUUAGCCAAGUUUGGUGGUGAAAGUUGGCCAAGUUGGUGCUUGGUGCCAAGUUUUGUGAAAUUUUGAAAGUGUUGGUUUUUGGGGUUUGAUGGUUGGACUGACCUCUUUAUAUCACCAAACGGCUACUGUAAAAAUCUUGGUGCAAGAAAUUUUUCAUUUUUGUGGAUUUUGAAGGAAGCCAAGUUUGGUGGUGAAAGUUGGCGAAGUUUGUGGUUCAUGGUACCAAGUUUUGGGAAAUUUUGAAAGUGUUGGUUUUUGGGGUUUGAUUGUUGAAAUGCCCUCUUUAUAUCACCAAAAGGCUACUGUAACAUUCUUGAAGCAAUAAAUUUUUCAUUUUGGUGGGUUUUGAAGCUAGCCAAGUUUGGUGGUGACAGUUGGCUAAGUUUGUGGUGAUUGGUGCCAAGUUUUGGGAAAUUUUCAAAGUGUUGGUUUUUGGGGUUUGAUUGUUGGAAUGACCUCUUUAUAUCACCAAAAGGCUACUGUAAAAAUCCUUGUUCAAGAAAUUUUUAUUUUGGUGAGGUUUGAAGCUAGCCAAGUUUGGUGGUGAAACUAGGAUAAGUUUGUGGUGCAUGGUGCCAAGUUUUGGGAAAAUUUCAAAGUGUUGGUUUUUGGGGUUUAAUCGUUGGAAUGCCCUCUUUAUAUCACCAAAAGGCUACUGUAAAAAUCUUGGUGCAAGAAAUUUUUGAUUUUGGUGGGGUUUGAAGCUAGCCAAGUUUGGUGGUGAAAGUUGGCUAAGUUUGUGGUGCAUGGUGCCAAGUUUUGGGAAAAUUUCAAAGUGUUGGUUUUUGGGGUUGAUGGUUGGAAUGCCCUCUUUAUAUUACCAAAAUGCUAUUGCAAAUGACAUUCGGAAAGAAAUGAAGGCAUUGAAUGGAAAACUUCUGAAAACCAAAGACAGAAAUACAAGAAAGGAUAUAUAGAGGGAAUUAAGGACUAUAUCCAAAGAAGAACGUAAAAAGCAGCAGCUUGUUGUAACAGAUGUACUUAAAAGUGCAGAUGUAAUAUUAACUACUUUGAUUGAGGCUUUCUCCAAGAAACUAGACAACACUUCAUUUGAUUUGGUGAUUAUGUAUGAAGUUGCUCAAGCACUUGAGAUAACAUGUUGGAUACCUCUGCUGAAGGUACUGUUUAAAGAAUACCCACUACAUUUAAUUUUAUUCACUACACUAACCCAUUUAGAUUUCUGACUUCUUUUUAUCUUCUGAUUACAUACCCAAGCCAUGUUUUAUUGGUUUUUGAACACUCCAUAUUAUCACCAUUAUGGUUGGUGGGAGGAGGGAAAAUAGAGAAGUGAUAUUCCAUGACAAAUAUAGUUAAAAUAAAGCAUGGUUGGUUAGUUUUUAUACAAUAAAAUCUCCCGAAACCAGAAUUUGAAAACUAAAUAUUUUAAUUUGGAUCCUGAUAUUGGUCCAAUUUUUUUUCUUUUAUUUCUGAAAUUGUGACAUCGAAAUUGAUGAGAGCUUUAGGAAAUUUGGGAUUCCAAAUAUACCCCUUGCCCUAUUUCAUUAGAAAUCACUGUUCUCUUUCUUCCUUCUCGUUCAUCAUCUUCGUUCUAGCUCUCCCUUUUGGUUUUCAGUCUCCCUCUUCCUUGUUGUUCUCCUUCUACGUUUUUGUUACAUCUCUUCGUUUUGGUCAAUGUCGUCCUCUUUGUGGAGUGUAUUGUGCAAAAUGGCAAGUUCCGGUAACCAUGGUCCUUCGACGAGCAAGUUGAGGGUUAGUCACUCCUUUUUAACAAAGUACAUUUCUACUUUGAACGAGCAAUUGACAGAGGAGCACCGAUCACUGAUUGCGGAGAUGGUGGACAUAGUGUUUUAUGUGAAGAACCGUCCAUGAACACUGGAUUUUUUUCCCCAGGAGGCAUGUCCACCAAUCCACCUCCAAUGAAGACUUACGUGAGGAUAAGGUCACGAAGGUGUUACAAGAGCAGAGUGCUUAGGACUCCUUACACUCGAUUUCUUAGAAUAAAAUAUGAGUGUUAUUUGUAUAGAUUUCUUAAGAGAAAGUAAUACAAAAUUGUACAUAGAUGAACAAAUGUUUGUA